AGCUCCGGUGGCUUAGUGGUAAGAGCGUCCGCCUUUGAUACGGGAGGUCGUGUGUUCAAUCCCCGGCCGAGUCA